CCAUUGUCACAGAGUAUAGUUUCCAUUGUUUAUAGAACAAAAGUAUUUAAUAUAUACAUGCAUGGUGAAUACAAAUUUCCAGUCCUUCUCAUUAACCAAGGCACCAAGCAUAUUUAUAGCUUCACAAAAUCAAAGCCUGCAUUGUGUAGCAUAAAUCCACAACGUCUAUAUAUAUAUAUAUAUAUAUAUAUAUAUAUAUAUAUAUAUAUAUAUAUAUAUAUCUAAACUUGGGCUGUAUGAAUGGCUCGUGAUCCUUGUUGGUAAUAUUCCCAGUGCAAGUCUGCGUAGUCCUUCACCUCUUUAUAUAACUUUGGCCUAUCAUCACUUAUCAAGCCACCUUCUGGCCCAAUCUCCUUCUUUGACUCAGGUGUGUAGAACAUCGCCACAGAAAUCCUCUCCCUUUCCGAAUUUGCCACUACUCUAUGCACCGGACUCUUGAACAUUCCAUUACUCAUUAUCUGCAUGC
rnacentral:lncRNA from 1 species